GGGGUGAUUGAUAAGCGCGGGCGGGGGUCCGCCGGCCCGCCCUCUACCUCGCCUGCCUCCUCCCCCUCCCGCCUCCUCUCCGCCUCCCUCCCGGUUCCCUCCCUCCUUCCUGCCGGUAGCGCUGCCCGGCGGCGAGCGGCUCCAGUGGGGAUCCGCCUGCCCUUGGGGGCGCCGCCCGCGCUCUCCGCCGAGCCUUUGCUCCCGGGCCGCGCCGGGCUGAGGCCGCGCCGCCUCCCGCGCCUCCCCAGCUCGCGGAUGUCGGGGGCGCCUCCGGGGGAAGCUCCGGGCGGCGCGUUCGCCGGAUGCUAAACUACCGGCGGACUGCAGAGGAGAGGGGUCCCGUCUUCUCCUGAUGCGUGAGUAACAGACCCCCGCCCCAGCACCCCGCGCUGUCUUUGCUCGUCCACCCUCUCCCUUCCCCCCGCCUCCAGUCCCCUGAUUUUCCCACCCCCUUUUUGCGCAGUUAAAAAAACAAAACAACAACAAAAAAAAGUAGAGCAAUUUCUGCUGCGAGCCCAGGACGGUCAAGCCGCCCGAGAUAGCUUCAAGAUAUCCCCCAGGGGCGGAGGAGGAGGCGAUGGGCUGGAUUUAGUAGGACAACUCGGUUACUAAUGACUUCGUGGCUGGCUGCGACCCGCUGGGAAAUCAGGUGCAAGCAUGUGGGUGCCGGGACGCGUGGGUGGGUCGGUGGGUGGGUGGGCCGGGAG
rnacentral:lncRNA from 1 species